UAGGGAAUAUUGGACAAUGGGGGCAACCCUGAUCCAGCCAUGCCGCGUGAGUGAAGAAGGCCCUCGGGUUGUAAAGCUCUUUUGUCCGGAAAGAAAAGCUUCGGGUUAAUACCCCGGGGUUCUGACGGUACCGGAAGAAUAAGCACCGGCUAACUUCGUGCCAGCAGCCGCGGUAAUACGAAGGGUGCAAGCGUUACUCGGAAUUACUGGGCGCAAAGCGUGCGUAGGUGGUUGUUUAAGUCUGAUGUGAAAGCCCUGGGCUCAACCUGGGAAUGGCGUUGGAAACUGGGCAGCUAGAGUGCGGUAGAGGGUAGUGGAAUUCCCGGUGUAGCAGUGAAAUGCGUAGAGAUCGGGAGGAACAUCUGUGGCGAAGGCGACUGCCUGGACCAGCACUGACACUGAGGCACGAAAGCGUGGGGAGCAAACA
rnacentral:rRNA from 1 species